CCUACGGGUGGCAGCAGUAGGGAAUCUUCCACAAUGGGCGAAAGCCUGAUGGAGCAACGCCGCGUGGGUGAAGAAGGUCUUCGGAUCGUAAAACCCUGUUGUUAGAGAAGAAAGUGCGUGAGAGUAACUGUUCACGUUUCGACGGUAUCUAACCAGAAAGCCACGGCUAACUACGUGCCAGCAGCCGCGGUACUACGUAGGUGGCAAGCGUUAUCCGGCGUUAUUGGGCGUAAAGGGACCGCCGGCGGUCUUUUAAGUCUGAUGUGAAAGCCUUCGGCUUAACCGGAGUAGUGCAUUGGAAACUGGGAGACGUGAGUGCAGAAGAGGAGAGUGGAACUCCAUGUGGAGCGGUGAAAUGCGUAGAUAUAUGGAAGAACACCAGUGGCGAAAGCGGGUCGCUGGUCUGUAACUGACGCUGAGGUUCGAAAGCGUGGGUAGCAAACAGGAUUAGAUACCCCAGUAGUC
rnacentral:rRNA from 1 species